rnacentral:rRNA from 1 species
UACGAGGGGGGCAAGCGUUGUUCGGAAUUAUUGGGCGUAAAGGGCUCGUAGGCGGUCUGUCGCGUCGGGAGUGAAAACUCAGGGCUUAACCCUGAGCCUGCUUCCGAUACGGGCAGACUAGAGGUAUGCAGGGGAGAACGGAAUUCCUGGUGUAGCGGUGAAAUGCGCAGAUAUCAGGAGGAACACCGGUGGCGAAGGCGGUUCUCUGGGCAUUACCUGACGCUGAGGAGCGAAAGUGUGGGGAGCGAACAGG